GCAAGUCGAGGGGUAACAGGAGAGCUUGCUCUCGCUGACGACCGGCGCACGGGUGCGUAACGCGUAUGCAACCUGCCUUUUACUGGAAGAUAGCCCGGAGAAAUUCGGAUUAAUAUUCCAUAGUAUUACAGUUCCGCAUGGUUUUGUGAUUAAAGUUCCGACGGUAAAAGAUGGGCAUGCGUGACAUUAGCUUGUUGGUGAGGUAACGGCUCACCAAGGCAACGAUGUCUAGGGGGUCUAAGAGGAUGAUC
rnacentral:rRNA from 1 species